GACAGAGGGUGCAAACGUUGUUCGGAACUACUGGGCGUAAAGCGCGCGUAGGCGGACCUGCAAGUCGGGGGUGAAAGCCCGAGGCUCAACCUCGGAACUGCCUUCGAUACUGCGGGUCUCGAGUCCGGGAGAGGUGAGUGGAAUUCCUAGUGUAGAGGUGAAAUUCGUAGAUAUUAGGAAGAACACCAGUGGCGAAGGCGGCUCACUGGCCCGGUACUGACGCUGAGGCGCGAAAGCGUGGGGAGCAAACAGG
rnacentral:rRNA from 1 species